rnacentral:lncRNA from 12 species
GUUUAAUGUGUGUUGACAAAAAGUAACUCCAACUGUAUUAAUGGAAUAAACUCAGUCCAUGGUAACAACUUUCAAAUCACAGGGAUCUCAGAAUUAAAGAUUUACUCUUAUGCAUUAAAUACAUCCAUUGCAGAUCAGCAGCCAUGUCUGUUUCUUGCAUCAUUUGUGAGCCUGACAGAGGGAUCUACACAAGAUGCUGUGGCAAGAUCUUCCUUAUUAUGGUCCAGAAAGAAUGCAAAUACAAUCUAACCUCA